GACUCUCGGCAACGGAUAUCUCGGCUCUCGCAUCGAUGAAGAACGUAGCGAAAUGCGAUACCUGGUGUGAAUUGCAGAAUCCCGCGAACCAUCGAGUCUUUGAACGCAAGUUGCGCCCGAAGCCUUCUGGCCGAGGGCACGCCNGCCUGGGCGUCACGCA
rnacentral:rRNA from 1 species